AACGAACGCUGGCGGCAUGCCUAACACAUGCAAGUCGAACGAGACCUUCGGGUCUAGUGGCGCACGGGUGCGUAACGCGUGGGAACCUGCCCUUAGGUUCGGAAUAACUCCCCGAAAGGGGUGCUAAUACCGGAUAAUGUCUUCGGACCAAAGAUUUAUCGCCUUUGGAUGGGCCCGCGUUGGAUUAGCUAGUUGGUAGGGUAAAAGCCUACCAAGGCGACGAUCCAUAGCUGGUCUGAGAGGAUGAUCAGCCACACUGGGACUGAGACACGGCCCAGACUCCGACGGGAGGCAGCAGUGGGGAAUAUUGGACAAUGGGCGAAAGCCUGAUCCAGCAAUGCCGCGGGAGUGAUGAAGGCCGUAGGGUUGUAAAGCUCUUUUACCCGGGAUGAUAAUGACAGUACCGGGAGAAUAAGCUCCGGCUAACUCCGUG
rnacentral:rRNA from 1 species